rnacentral:rRNA from 1 species
UACGUAGGGGGCGAGCGUUGUCCGGAUUUAUUGGGCGUAAAGAGCUCGUAGGCGGCUUGGCAAGUCGGGUGUGAAACCUCCAGGCUCAACCUGGAGACGCCACUCGAUACUGCUAUGGCUAGAGUCCGGUAGGGGACCACGGAAUUCCUGGUGUAGCGGUGAAAUGCGCAGAUAUUAGGAGGGAACACCAGUGGCGAAAGGCGGCUCACUGGCCCGAUACUGACGCUGAGGCACGAAAGCGUGGGGAGCAAACAGG